GGAGGGGGCAAGCGUUAUUCGGAAUUACUGGGCGUAAAGCGCGUGUAGGCGGUCACGCAAGUCAGGUGUGAAAUCCCUUGGCUCAACCAAGGAACUGCGCUUGAAACUGCGUGACUUGAGUACGGGAGAGGAGAGUGGAAUUCCCAGUGGAGCGGUGAAAUGCGUAGAUAUUGGGAGGAACACCGGUGGCGAAGGCGGCUCUCUGGACCGUCACUGACGCUGAGACGCGAAAGCUAGGGGAGCGAACGGGGGAUUAGAUACCCCGGUAGUCCUAGCCGUAAACGAUGGGUACUUGGUGUAGCGGGUAUCGACCCCCUGCUGUGCCGGAGCUAACGCAUUAAGUACCCCCGCCUGGGGGAGUACGGUCGCAAGGCUG
rnacentral:rRNA from 1 species